rnacentral:rRNA from 1 species
AUGCAGUUAAAAAGCUCGUAGUUGGACCUUGGGCCGGGUCGGCCGGUCCGCCUCACGGCGAGCACCGACCAACUCGACCCUUCUGCCGGCGAUGCGCUCCUGGCCUUAACUGGCCGGGUCGUGCCUCCGGCGCCGUUACUUUGAAGAAAUUAGAGUGC